rnacentral:rRNA from 1 species
GACGAACGCUGGCGGCGUGCUGAACACAUGCAAGUCGAACGGUAAGGCCCUUCGGGGUACACGAGUGGCGAACGGGUGAGUAACACGUGGGUGAUCUGACCUGCACUUCGGGAUAAGCCUGGGAAACUGGGUCUAAUACCGGAUAGGACCACUGCCUGCAUGGGUGGUGGUGGAAAGCUUUUGCGGUGUGGGAUGGGCCCGCGGCCUAUCAGCUUGUUGGUGGGGUGAUGGCCUACCAAGGCGACGACGGGUAGCCGGCCUGAGAGGGUGACCGGCCGAACUGGGGCUGAGAGACGGCCCAGGCUCCUACGGGAGGCAGCAGUGGGGAAUAUUGCACAAUGGGCGCAAGCCUGAUGCAGCGACGCCGCGUGAGGGAUGACGGCCUUCGGGUUGUAAACCUCUUUCAGCACCGACGAAGCGCAAGUGACGGUAGGUGCAGAAGAAGGACCGGCCAACUACGUGCCAGCAGCCGCAGUAA